rnacentral:rRNA from 1 species
AGUUGGCCGGUGCUUCUUCUGUACCUACCGUCACUUGCGCUUCGUCGGUACUGAAAGAGGUUUACAACCAAGGCCGUCAUCCCUCACGCGGCGUUGCUGGAUCAGGCUUCCGCCCAUUGUCCAAUAUUCCCCA